ensembl:lncRNA
GGCGGGUGGCUGUUUUCCUGCAGACCCUUGGCCCCGCCCUCCCGGGCCGUCCCACCUGGGGCCUCUCUCUGGGACAGCUGAAGCGUGGGGUUUGUGGGAGCCUCACCAGGGAUGCGAUCCUGCCUGGCAGCCGCUGACCUGCGCUUCCCCCAGCCCUGAGGGCAAGGGCCCAGGUUUCCAAGAACAUGCAGCAGCUGGGACCAGUCCUCUCUUCCGCGGUGCGUGCGUGCCCCUCAUUCUCCCUGGCUCCAAGCUUCCUCCUUCGUUCCUCUGUGGGGAGGGCACUGCAGUGGGUUUGCCUGUGUAUCACCGGCUGCUCGAGCUCUGCAUAAGGAGCCACGCGUCUGUCAGGAUAACGGCACAAUCGGAUCACCUGGAGAGCCGUAAAAACAGCGAUGCCUGGGCCGAACCCAGACAGAGGGGCUCGGAAUCGCAGAGGGUGGAGCCGGGCCUCGGAGAUUCCGACAGCUCCGCUGGUCUGGUUUGCAGGCAAGGUUGAGAUCUUCUUAGCUCCACGGCUGAAACUGGAGACCCAGCCUUUCUUCGGCAAAAACUAAUUUAGAAAGCUCAGUUCCAGUCUUGUGUCACAUUACAUCAGUUCACAUUCUGUAAGGAGGUGGAGCUGCCCGCCACCCUCUCGAGUUCAGUAUUUUAAAAAGAUUCCACGUACAAGAUCUCCAACCAGGAAUUGAAGCCAGGCCCCAGGAGUGAAAGGGCUGAACCCUAAGCACUGGACUACCAGAGAAUUCCCACGGAUGCCCUUCUUUUUUAUGGCUAAACAAUAUUCCACGGCACAUCACAUCUAUAUGUGUGUGUGUGUGUAUUCCACAUUUUAAUCCACUCGUCUGCUGAUGAGCACAGGCUGUCUGCAUGUGUUAUGAAUCAUGUUGAGUGAGCAUGAGGGUGCAGAUAUCUUCUCAAGGUGAUGAUUUUGUUUCUGUUGGACAAAUACCCAGAAGUGGAAUUGCUGGGUCAUAGAGUGGCCCUAUUUUUAAUUUUUUGAGGAGCCUUCAUAAUGUCUUCCACGGCGGCUGCACCGAUUUCCAACCCUCACCGAUUGUGCGCACGUGUUCCCCUCUCUCCGCAUCCUCAGCAACACUUGUGAUUUCUUGUAGUUUCGUUCAUGGCCUUGUAACAAGUGUGAGGUGAUAUCUCACCAUGGAUUUGACUUUCAUUUCCCCACCGAUUAGUGAGGUUGAGCAUCUUUUCAUGUACUUGUUUGCCAUUUUUACAUCUUGUGUACAAACU